rnacentral:rRNA from 1 species
UGGGGAAUAUUGCGCUAAUGCGCGAAAGCGUGACGCAGCGACGCCGCGUGGGGGAUGAAGGCCCUCGGGUCGUAAACCCCUUUCGGCAGGGACGAAGCGAAAGUGACGGUACCUGCAGAAGAAGUCCCGGCUAACUACGUGCCAGCAGCCGCGGUAACACGUAGGGGACGAGCGUUGUCCGGAUUCAUUGGGCGUAAAGCGCGCGUAGGCGGUCGUGCAAGUCGGUCGUGAAAUCCCGGGGCUCAACCCCGGGACUGCGUCCGAUACUGCACGACUGGAGGCAGGUAGGGGAGAUCGGAAUUCCUGGUGUAGCGGUGAAAUGCGCAGAUAUCAGGAGGAACACCGGUGGCGAAGGCGGAUCUCUGGGCCUUGCCUGACGCUGAGGCGCGAAAGCUAGGGGAGCGAACAGG